rnacentral:rRNA from 1 species
UUGCCAUUUCAUAAGCGGAGGAAAAGAAACCAACAGGGAUUGCCUUAGUAGCGGCGAGUGAAGCGGCAAAAGCUCAAAUUUGAAAUCUGGCGCCUUCGGUGUCCGAGUUGUAAUUUGAAGAUUGUAACCUUGGGGUUGGCUCUUGUCUAUGUUUCUUGGAACAGGACGUCACAGAGGGUGAGAAUCCCGUGCGAUGAGAUGCCCAAUUCUAUGUAAGGUGCUUUCGAAGAGUCGAGUUGUUUGGGAAUGCAGCUCUAAGUGGGUGGUAAAUUCCAUCUAAAGCUAAAUAUUGGCGAGAGACCGAUAGCGAACAAGUACAGUGAUGGAAAGAUGAAAAGAACUUUGAAAAGAGAGUGAAAAAGUACGUGAAAUUGUUGAAAGGGAAGGGUUUGAGAUCAGACUCGAUAUUUUGUGAGCCUUGCCUUCGUGGCGGGGUGACCCGCAGCUUAUCGGGCCAGCAUCGGUUUGGGCGGUAGGAUAAUGGCGUAGGAAUGUGACUUUACUUCGGUGAAGUGUUAUAGCCUGCGUUGAUGCUGCCUGCCUAGACCGAGGACUGCGAUUUUAUCAAGGAUGCUGGCAUAAUGAUCCCAAACCGCCCGUCUUGAAACCCGGGACCA